GACGAACGCUGGCGGCGUGCUUAACACAUGCAAGUCGAACGGAAAGGCCCUGCUUUUGUGGGGUGCUCGAGUGGCGAACGGGUGAGUAACACGUGAGUAACCUGCCCUUGACUUUGGGAUAACUUCAGGAAACUGGGGCUAAUACCGGAUAGGAGCUCCUGCUGCAUGGUGUGGGUUGGCAAGUUUCGGCGGUUGGGGAUGGACUCGCGGCUUAUCAGCUUGUUGGUGGGGUGUAGGCUUACCAAGGCUUUGAGGGGUAGCCGGCCUGAGAGGGUGAGCGGCCACACUGGGACUGGGAUACGGCCCAGACUCCUACGGGAGGGAGCAGUGGGGAAUAUUGUACAAUGGACGGAAGCAUGAUGCAGCAACGCCGCGUGCGGGAUGACGGCCUUCGGGUUGUAAACCGAUUUCGCCUGUGACGAAGCGUGAGUGACGGUAAUGGGUAAAGAAGCACCGGCUAACUACGUG
rnacentral:rRNA from 1 species